AAACUUUUCCACCUUAUCAGAUUCCAACUACCACCUUCCCCUUUAUUCUUCUUUCUCACCUAUCUACUUUCUCCCCACUCCACUCCAGAUCUGCUGAAAUUGCCAGAUUCCCAGGUCAAAGAAGAAGAUGGGUCAUCACCACCACCACCACCACGGCCAUGGCGGUCCGCACGAUGAUCCUUUCCUGGCGUGUUGCUGCUGCCCUUGCAUGAUGGUGUCGUCUUUGUUCUCCGUCUUCCAGAGGUGCCUCAUGUUUGUGUGCUAUCCUUUUCUGAGUUGCUUGGGGUGUGUUGAGCAUGGCCAUCCCCACCACCACCAUCACCAUCACAGGUUCUAGUAGUAGUCUCCACUGUGUUUCUUUCAGUUUUGAACUCUAUGUAUUAACCUGAUGUGGACAUGUGAUUGUGUUGAACUCUGCAUAUUUGUAAGUCUUGGAUGGAUGGCAGCCCCCCAAGUUGUGUGUUUUUUUUUUUUUUUUUUUUUUUUGUUGGAAAGAUUGAAACUUGGUGGGCCAGUCAUCUGUGUGUAAUGUGGUUUUGUGACUCUACUGUUAUCUGAGGUUAUGAAAUGGGAGACAAUUAUAAAAUGCUAUCAUGUUUUUGUAGUCAAUAAAUAAGGAAAAUUUCCAAU